GGCGAUUGUACUUCGGUUUUGCUGCUUUAUGUUCCUGGCCUUUGUCAUAAUGUCUUCAGCCUCCAAUACACAGGCCAUUUCACUUUCAGGUUUGUUUUCCACGACAUUAACAUCUUUUGUCAAAUCGGAGUACACUUAUUUGGACACGUUCUAUAGACAAAAGUAAACAUAAUAAGUGAAAAUUUUUAUUAUCUUGUCGAGUUACUUUGAGUUCGAUACAAUAACUUGUUCUUAUCGUUUAAAUAUUAAAUUAUAGGAAGGGAGUUGGAAGAGGUUGAGAUGGAAGGUCGAUCUCUAAGAGUGAGUCUAAAUGAUUAUAGUGGAGCCACGGCCAAUCAUGGACAUGAUCCAGGGACUAAACCGAGUUCCGGCAGCCGAGCUGGUGGCCGAAAAACCCAUCACCGACUCUAAAUAAAUGUGCUCAGGGUGUCAUUGCUAGUAUAUAUUAAUUGUUCGAGGUGGACUUUAUCAUCUAUCUUGUUUGAUUAUGCAUAAUUGAUUGUGAAUUGUAUUGAUUAUGUAAUUUGAGGUAACAAUUAAUAGAUCAAAAUAAGUUAUAUGAUUGUAAUAAACUGUGCUACAACUACAAAAUUUCCA
rnacentral:lncRNA from 1 species